UUAUAAAUGCAUCAUGGGACAGUACAACUGAUGGUAUACAUUAACACUGCCAUGGAAGAAUUGUACCAUCCAACAAUGUAGACCACAUUUCCUGCUGCACACCCUUUAUCUUGAAAAACCACUGAUAGCUACUAGCAAGUACUUAGAAGGGGAUGAAGAGUCCUGAGAUAAGAAAAUACAGGGGGAUAGGAAGAAAGAGAAAUUACCAAUAGAAGAAAGUGUUGGUAGGUUAAGUCACAAAAAUAUGGUAAGAUUUAAGACAUUACAUGGGCCAGACAUCAUGCAUUAAUCUCAGUACUUGGGAGGCAGAGCCUGCAUGAUACAUUAUGACUAAUAAAGGCCAGUGGAAUCCUGUCUCAAAAUACAAAACUGUUCCCGGAUAUAAUAUGGGUACCUAGGCUAGGUACAACUGAUUGGGUUGACAGGAAGUAGGAAGACAUAAGAGCUACUACUGAAAUUAAACUUAGUUGACAUGGGUGAAAUCUACAGAGGAUAGUAUUGUUUCUAGGAUGACUAAUGGUAUUCAUGUUUCAAACUGACAAGUUUCUAAUUCUCAUUUUCUCCUUGUAAGAGGCCAAAUGUGAGAUUGUGGCCCAGAUCUCCAAAUUUAGCUUAGCCUUAGAUUCACUGUACAUAGUAGGUUUUGUACAAAGUCAACAAGUAAAAACCUCCAAGUUAUUUUUACGUACUGCUAACUAUCCUAGAAAUGACCAGAAUUAUACUUCAGCUCCCAAAGAUGGAAAAGUUUUAGAACUAUACUGCAAAGUACCACAAUCAAAACUAAAGUCUUACAAGAUAGAACAUGUUCUGAACCAAAAGCUAAAAGUCUUGAGAGCUAAAGAAAUGGUUAGCAGUUAAGAGCACUUGAUGUUCUUGCAAAGAACCUGGUUUUAUAUCCCAGCACCCUCAAUGUGUGGAUCACAAGUUCUUUUGGCCUCUGCAGCUACCAGGCAGACAUGUGAUGUAUAUAUACAUGAGGUACUCACACACAAAACCUAUUUUAAAAAAAUUGAAAAAUUUGAGGCCACAUGAGAAUACUUCUAAAAGUGGAUUGUAGGUUGAUUCUACAAUGUAAUUUUCUUAACGUAAAGCUUCUGAACUUAGCUCUUCUGGAAAACACUAAACUACACUAAAUUCUGUUGGGAAGGAACAUGUAUCAUGUGAAUGCCUUAAAGAGAAUUAUAUUCUACUUAAUUUUUCACUGAGUGGCAAAAGUACAUUAAAAGGUUAAUAAAAUUUGAGGCAUCUAACUCUGCCUUCAAAGAGAUUAACUGACCAGGUGUGGUGUAAUCCCAGUCCUUCUGAGACAAAGGCAGGGAAGUUCACAACUUAAAGGCUGGCCUAGGCUACAGAGACCUCAUCUCAGUGUGGAGACUGCACAGUGGUAGAACAUUUCCUGUGGAUAAGGCCCUGGGUUUGAGCUACAAAAUGAGAAAAUGGGCAGGCAGAGGGCCAAUCUCUCUUGUGGGCCAGAGAGAUCCAGUAGGUAAAGCUACUGACUGCUGAAGUCUUUAUGAGCUGGGUUUAAUACCAAAGAACCACGUGGUGUAACAACUUCCCUAAGUCAUUCUCUGACUUCGACAUGAGCACUACAUGUAUGAUUCUCUCCUCCAUUCACAUAAUGUUAAAAACAGAUGCCUUCAAUUCAUAUGAUGCUAGUUUUCUGUCAUUCAAAACAGUGUCAAUUUCUUGAGGUAAUAUGUUCUUUAGCAAAGGAGUAAACCAAGAACCAAAAAUUACCCAUGUCAAGGCAAAGGACAUCUUAAUAAAUGGCAUAAUAUGAAGAGGCAUUGUCUUUGAGGAGUGCAUGGGCAGAAAAGGGUGUAAUGGCAUGGUCCUAGCUAUUGAGAUAGGAAAUCACUUGAGCCCAGGAGUUGGGCAAAACAGUGAGCCUCUUAUUUUUGAAAGUAAACAAGUUUAUGGAGCACAUGAGGAUAGAGGAAUAGAAACGGGUGUCAAAACUUAAUUUGCCCUGAGCUAGCCCCCUCCCUCUAGAGUCAUGCCUAGAACUGACCUGUGGGAGGACUUAACUUGCCCUGAGCUAGCCCCCUCCCUCUAGAGUCAUGCCUAGAACUGACCUGUGGGAGGACUUAACUUGCCCUGAGCUAGCCCCUCCCUCUAGAGUCAUGCCUAGAACUGACCUGUGGGAGGACUUAACUUGCCCUGAGCUAGCCCCCUCCCUCUAGAGUCAUGCCUAGAACUGACCUGUGGGAGGACUUAACUUGCCCUGAGCUAGCCCCUCCCUCUAGAGUCAUGCCUAGAACUGACCUGUGGGAGGACUUAACUUGCCCUGAGCUAGCCCCUCCCUCUAGAGUCAUGCCUAGAACUGACCUGUGGGAGGGAGGCCAGCUUGUCUUCUCUCACUUAGGAAAGCAGGCGGGAGUCAGAGAUGGCUCAGCAGUUACGAGUAUCAGUGGCUCUUGGGAACUCUGGUUUGAAUCGCAGCACCAGAAUGGCAGCUCACAACUGUAGUCUAGACCCUAGAGUUUCAACUGUUUCCUCUAGCCUCUUGAGGGCACCAGGUACAAAUGCAUAGACCAAAGAAUUCCAUAUUU
rnacentral:lncRNA from 1 species